rnacentral:snoRNA from 1 species
AAUCCGUGAUGCGGGCAACAUCGAAGCAAGUCCUUAUACCUCUCCCAAGCAUCAUACAUACUCUCAUCAUAGAACUGCAUAAAAAAUAUAUUUUAUUUCUCAAUUU